rnacentral:rRNA from 1 species
GUCUAUGCCCAUGCCACCCUGAACAAGCCUGAUCCCAUCUAAUCUCAGAAGCUAAGCAGGGUCGGGCCUGGUUAGUACUUGGAUGGGAGACCACCUAGGAAGACCAGAUGCUGCUGUAG